CAGAGGGAUCCACACUGCCAUUCAGGAAGAGGAGAGACAGCUUUAAUUUACUUCCUCCUUUGAGUGGAGGUUCUCUAGCCCCCUCUGAAGCAGGCAGCUCUGUGCGGGAUUAUCAAUCUGCUCAUGAUGUUUCCAGUAAGAAGGUAUCAUGGUGGCUGAAAAGGAGGAAAUCAGGGAGUUCAGCAUCAUCUGGAUACGGAACACGGAGUUCUGUAGUGAGUGAAGCAGAGGAGCCUGACAGGGUGACCCUGGAAGGGGACAGUG